CAGUUAUUCAACAGAGGAGUACGUUUGAAUGCUGUUUGAGUCCAUGACUAGGGAUGGCUUUUCAGGGCUGAUGGAAUCCUUGCAUCUAGAAAGAGGGUCUGAAUUUUAAUCUGGGAGUUAAUUGUUAAUGCUGGCAGAAAUGCUCCAUGGGUCAGAUCCUAAGGCAGGGUCAGGGUGGGGAGAGAAGAUGGAGUUCUGUCUCUUCUGUUGGGAACUAGAGAGAGGAGAAUUGGAACUGUGGAAUUUGUGGGGGACUGGCAUUGUGGGGGACACUACUCUGGAAGAAAUGAGCAGGUCACUGCACUGCAGCCUCAGGCUGAGGUUUAAGGAGAAAGUUCCUAGUCAUAGAUCCCCCUUAAAGGGGUGUGGCCAGGGGUUCCCUACGUUUUUAAUUCCCUUAUAUUAGCCUCACUCUUAGUAAAUCCUCAUCAAAAAAUACAGUCCAGGGGCUGAGGCUGUAGCUCAGUGGUGAAGUGCUUGCCUCGCAUGUGUGAGGCAUUCAGUUCAAUCCUCAGCACCACAUAAAAAUAAAUAAAGAUACUGUGUGUUCAUCUACAACUAAAUAAAUAUUAAAAAAAACACAAAAAACUACAGUCCAGUGUUAGCUGUGUAUUGGAUGAUUCAGGGAGGGGCUCUGUCCAUACUGGGGCCAGAUGGUGUCAAAAUGGCUGUGGUAGCUUAGAGAUCAUUUCCAGAUGGCAGGAGAGCAGCACAGAGAAGCCUAGGCUCUGGUCUUAGACCAAGUGAUGGCUGGUGACAGCCAGGAUAUAUGUUUCUGGAACAUGUUAAUAUUUGCAUAUUUACAAGUCCUUACCUAAGAACUUCUCACAAUUACUUACACAUCACAUUAAAAGCUAGACUUUCUGCAGUGAGAGGUGGGUAAAAGAAAAGUGAUUCUGUGGACUGGAGAGUUGGACCUUUGCAUUGUAGUUUGGUGACAUUUGAUGCCACAACCCGUCAGGAUUUUGACUGGUUUCUUUGGCUCUUUUCAUCAUCACUACUGAAAUUUGGCUUUUCAAAUUAGUGGGAGAAAAGGCCCUGUUUGCAGCCUCAGUUGUACAGUCCCACUGGCAGUUUUGCCUCAUGGUACUGCAGUGUGGUGACUCACACAUCAGCUUUUAGUUCUGAGUAAGAGCUUGGGGCCUGUUGUGUGGAAUAGUGGUGCGGGAUCUGCAAAACUGGCCCAGGCUCUGGCAUGUAGUUACCUCAACUACCAAGUUGUUUGGAAGGCCCAGUGUGGCCAGAGGGCUCCCUUUUGUGGGUGGUAAUGCCAGCAUCACAAGCUUGAACUGCAGCCUGGGAAAGUCAUGGAAACCUGCUGCAGAGUGUGUAGAAAGCAUGUUUAUUGGAUCUUACAUCUCACACAUUAAUGAAUUAUGAAUUAUUCCAACACUUUGGAUGUUUGAAUGUUCAGACAUUUAAGAAGAAUUAAAACAUUUAAAACCAAAGAAAUCAGUGGUAAUGCUGUUGAUGUCAAGUUCUGUGGAGUGACGCAAGUCUUAUUAAAAAAUACUGUGGAGUACUUGACAAAAAGUUGUUUCUUCUAGAGGGAGUCCAUAGUAACUACUCAGCUUUCCUGUUUCAGAGCCCUCAGGUUUCUUUACUGGUUAAGAUGCUUAUUAGUAAAUGGGAAGAAGCCCAAGCACCAUGAGGCCUCAGCCAUGGUGAGGAUUGGACACAGAAGCUCUGACUCUUCUUUCCAGAGCAAAUCCCUGUGGUUACAUUUGGGGGGUACACCCUAGGGGCCCCAGUCUAGGGGAUCAACUUCAUGAGUUAUGUUGUCAAAGCUCACUUCCUGAUCCUACUGCUAAAUUCUCUCUUCCCCCAAUGGAUCUACUUUCCAAAAUAAACCUUCCAGUGUCUGCAUACAUUGCCAUAUGGGGUGGCAAGCCAUUGCACACAAGAAUCUUAAAACCACAGGAUGAACAAAUGGGAAGAUUAUGACCUGUGUAGGGUCCUUACCUGUUACCACCUCUCAAGGAGGAAAUGCAGGGGAGAGGCUGGUUUUGUGCCAUCCUUUCCAGCUACAUAAUAAUAAGAUGAUGAACUAGAAUGCUCAAACUAUUAUUGAUAUUUGAAUAUUGGUUGUAUUCGUGCUCUGUGCUAAGCAUUAUACCUGCAAUUUAAAAAGUCCUUACAACAACACAUAUGAGAACACCAAGAUUUACAUAGCUUGCCAAAGUCACACAGUAAGUACAUAACAGAUUUGAACUGGUGUCUGUUCUACUCCAGAUUUUGCACUCUUUAGAAAGUAACUAAUUAUACACAAAUAAGGCUUGUGGAGACCUGGCUUUAGGCAGACUGAAGAGCUUGUCUUACACCAACCCUUCUGCUGAGAAAAUUGGAAAAGCCAGAAUAUGCAUACUUAUUAAGGCACUGGAGGGUUGUUGAGAAAGUAAGAGCCAAUAUUCCAGAGUUGAAACCUACAAUUGGUGUCAUUUUUUUCCCCUCAAAGCACUUGCUAAUUCAAGGACAGUGGCUGAGAAACUGAAUAAAUCUUGUAAGACUUUUUGGUAACAAAGCCCAGGAUCCGAGUUAUUCUGAGGUUCUUGAAUUGUCUGGAAAAUGAUGAAGACACUAAAAUAGCAAUCAAUAAAGCAAGGGGGCACAUUUCAGUUUCUGUGGUAUUUCCUAAAACAAUGUAAGAGUAACAAGAUAAUAGCUGGGGAAUUUGAAAUAGCAAAGUAAUCCAAAAGAAGUCAAGUAAGGAGUAAAAGCGCCAUAGAACCAAUGGGAGCAAGAGAAAACAUUAAGAAGGUUGAUUUAAACCCAGAUGCAUCAGUAUGUAUAUCAAGCACAUGUGGAUUAAACAUUCCAUUUUAAAGACCAUAUUGUCAGCCUGGAUAAAGAACAAAACUGAACAACCUGAGACUUAAAAACAACACAGCUUAAAUAUCAGGAUACAAAAGAAUUGAAGGGACAAAGAUGAGAAGAGACCUAUCAUGUAAGUGAAGCAAAAAGAAGUAGGUAGGUGGUGCUUGCCUGAAAUCCCAGUGGCUCAGUAGGAUGAGGCAGGAGGAUCACAAUGUUCAAAGCCAGCCUCAGCAACUUAGUGAGACCCUAAGAAACUCAGACCCUAUCUCAAAAUACAAAAUAAAAAGGGCUGGGGAUAUGGCUCAGUGGUUGAGCGCCCCUAGAUUCAAUCCCCACUACCCCCCCCCCAAAAAAAAAAGCAGGUGUGUUCUAGAUAGUAGGGGAUUAGGGGAUCAGAUAAGAGACACUUUCUAGGGCCAGGGGAGUAUUUUGUAAUGAUAAAAGGUUCAUUUUAGCAGAGUAUCCAGCCUGCAGAGGUAAUUGAGCUGCCUGUGAGGUUCACAAAGGUGCCCAUAGCCCUGCCUCACCUUGGAGCUGGUCAGAGAGGAACUAGAUUAAAAAGUAUACAGGGAGACAGGAGGAAGCAAGAGAGAGAUUAGAGAAAAACACAAGGGUGGAGCAUACUAUUAAAAGGCCAAGAAAUGCAACAUUUUUUUUUUUUUUGGUAAAUAUGAUGUGAGUCCUAUGCAUGCCCCCUGCCCUAAUUUUGGGGGUCAGAAUCACUAAUAAAUGUUAAUGUUAGCUCAAAAUUAUCAAAAGCUUCCUGAUAUAAGGGCUUUGCAUAUGUUCAUUUAGUAUAUCCUCACAAAAGCCCUGGAGGUUUCCAUUUCACAGAUGGGAAAACCCGCACUGUUAGAGCGUGCAAAGCAAGUCAAUGUGGUGCCAGAGUCCCUGCUCUUGGUCAUGGAGCAGACUCCAGAUUUUAUAAUCUGACUCUGGAUAAAUGUUAUCAUUUAAAAAAAUUAGUGUUUUGUGGCUAUUCAUGAUAGAUUCAUUGUGGUAUAUUCAUAUACAUACAUAGGAAGGUUAGGUUCAUUCCAUUAUUCUCUUAUUCCAUCCCUCCACCUUUCCCUCAGUUCCCUUCAUCUAGUACACCAAUCUGUCUUCUAUUUUGAUGGAAUUCCCUCUCCCUUUUUUUUUCUUUCUCUUUUUCUCUUUUAUUUUGUACUAAUUUCCAAAUAACAAAGAAAAUAUUUGACCUUUGACUUGGGGACUGGCUUAUUUCACUCAGAACGAUAAUCUCCGGUUUCAUUCAUUUACCAACAAAUGCCAUAAUUUUAUUCUUAUUUAUGGCUGAGUAGUAUUCCAUUGUGUAUAUAUCACACUUUCUUUAUUCAUUCAUCCGUUGAUGGGUUCCUGGAUUGGGUCCAUAGUUGUGAAUUGUGCUGCUAUAAACACUGAUGUGAACGCAUCCCUAUAGUAUACUGAUUUUAGAUCUUUUGGUCCCAAGGAGUGGGAUAGCUGGAUCAUAUGGUGGUUCUAUUCCUAGGUUUUUAGGUGUUUCGAUGCUGCUUUCCAGAGUGGUUGCACCAAUUCUCACUUCCACCAACAAUGUAUGACUAUACCUUUUCACCCACAUCCUCACUAGCAUUAUUAUUUGUAUUCUUGAUAAUUGCCAUUCUGACAGGAGUAAGAUGAAAUCUGGAUAUAGUAUUGAUUUGCAUUUCCCUGAUUGCUAGAGAUGUUGAAUAUAUUUUGUAUAUUUGUUGGCCAAUUGUAGUUCUUUUGUUUAGUUCUUUUGCCUGUGUAUUAACUGGGGUUUUUUUGUUGUCAAAUUUUUGAGGUUUUUAUAUAUUCUGUGUAUUAAUGUCCUAUCUGAGGAGCAGGUGGCAAAGAUCUCCCAUUCUAUAGGCUCUGUCUUCAUGCUCUUCAUUGUUUCCUUUGCUAUGCAGAAGCUUUUUAAUUUGAUAUCAUCCCACUUAUUGAUUUUUGGUUUUAUUUCUUGAUUUUUUAGGAAUAUUAUUAAAGAAGUCAGUUUCUGUGACAUAUGUUGAGAUGUUUGGCUUAAAUUUUCUUCUAGCUAUUGUAGAAUUUUCUGGUCUAAUUCUUAGGUCUUUGAUCCACUUUGAGUUGACUUUUGGGCAGAAUGAGAGAUAGACAUAUGGAUUUCCAGUUUUUCCAGCACCUUUUGUUGAAAAAGACUAUCUUUUCUCCAAUGAAUGUUUUUGGCACCUUUGUCUAGUAUCAGAUAAUCGUAUUUAUAUGGGUAUGUCUUUGUGUCUUCUAUUCUGUUCCAUUUACUGGUACCAUGCUGUUUUUGUUACUGUAGCUCUGUAGUGUAUUUUGAGGUCUGGUAUUGUUAUGCCUCCAGCAUCAAUCACUCUUUUUGCUCAGGAUUGCUUUGGCUACUCUGAGUCUGUUUUUUUUUCCAAGUGAAUUUUAGAAUUGCUUUUUGUAGUUCUGUGAAGAAUGGUAUUGGUGUGUUCUUUCCAUCUUCUAAAGUAUUUUACAAUUUCUACCUUCAGUGUUCUUUAGUUUUCAUUGUAGAGGUCCUUGACAUCCUUCAUUAGAUUGAUUCCCAAGUAUUUUAUUUUGUUUAUGUUAUUGUGAAAGGAAAAUGUUCCCAAUUUCUUUUUCAGGAGAUUCAUUAUUGUAGCAACAUGAUUGAUUUAUGUAUGUUGAUCUUAUAUCUUGAUACUUUACUAAAUUGUUUUUUAUCAGCUCUAGAAACUUCUGGUGGAGUUUUUUGGGUCUUCUAAAUAUAGGAUCAUCAGCAAACAAAUAAUUUGAGGAGUUCUUAGCCUAUUUGUAUCCCGUUAGUUCCUUUCUCUUGCCUGAUUGCUCUGGCUAGAGUUUCAAUGUUGAAUGGAAUGAUGGGACUGGGCAUCCUUGUUUUUAGAGGAAAUGCUUUUAGGUUUUUUUUAUUCAGAAUAAUGUUGGCCUUGGAUUUGUCCUAUAUAACCAGUGCAAUGUUGAGAUAAGUUUCUUCUAUCCCUAGUUUCUCUAGUGUUUUAAACAUGAAUGGGUGUUGUGCUGUACUUUGUCAAAGGCUUUCUCUGCAUCUAUUGAGAUAGUCAUGUGAUUCUUGUCCUUAAAUCUACUUACAUGGUGAAUUACAUUUAUUGAUUUGUAUUAUGUUGAACCAACCUUGCAUUCCUGGGAUUUUUAAAAUGUGUUUUGCAUACAGUUUGCCAAUAUUUUAUUAAGAAUUUUUGCAUCUAUUUCACCAAGUAUAUCUGCCUGAAGUUUUCUUUCCUUGAUGUGUUUUUGUCUGGUUUUGGUAUCAGGGUGAUACUGAAUUCAUAGAAUGAAUUUGGCAGUGAUUCCUCUUUUUUCCUUUCAUGGAAUUAUUGAGGAGGAUUGGUAUAGUUCUUUUUUAAGGGUAUGGCAGAACACAGCUGAGAAUACAUCCAGUCCUGGGCUUAUCUUAAAGUUUGAAGGCUUUUUUUUUUUAAAUGUGUUUUUUUAGUUGUAGAUGGAUACAAUACCUUUUUUAUUUAUUUAUUUUUGUGUGGUGCUGAAGAUCGAACCCAGUGCCUCACACAUGCUAGGUGGGUGCUCUAACACUGAGCCACAACCUCCAGCCCCUAAUUUGAAGGCUUUUUUUGGAUAGCUGCUUCAAUUUCAUUAUUUGAUAUUGAUCUGUUUAGAUUUUUUUAUACACUCAUGGUUCAAUUUGGGUAGGUUAUAUAUCUCUAGGAAUUUGUUAAUAUCUUCAUGAUAUUCUAGUUUAUUGAGAGUAAACUUUCAAAAUAGUUAUUGAUGAUCCUCUGGAUUUCAUCUAUGAUGAUGUUCCCUUUUUC
rnacentral:lncRNA from 1 species